CUUCGGGACUUGGAGAGUCAAAGAGAUCAGGACUCGAAAGGGAAGACUAUAGAAAGAAACAAGAGGACAUGCUAUCCCAAUAAGGGAACACUGAGGCCUACUGAUAGCCUGAAAUACAUUAAACUGAAAUCCUUUUGGAAAAAGCAAAUCAACUGUGCGUCCAUUUCGGAUCUGGACAGAGAGUGACUGAAAAAAAUCAAAGGACAACCUGAAAAGAUAUUGAUUCUCCUAUGGAAUUUGCAGUUCUAUUAAAUCGGAUUUGACUAGA